AAUGAACGCUGGCGGCAGGCCUAACACAUGCAAGUCGAGCGGAGCGGCGGAGGGGUGGGUAAUGUCUAGGCAUCUGCCUGCUCGUGGGGGAUAACGUCCGGAACUGGGUGCUAAUACCGCAUACUAUCAGAUGAGCCUAGGUCGGCUUCGCUAGUUGGUGGGGUAAGGGCCUACCAAGGCGCAGAUCCGUAACUGGUCUGAGAGGAUGAUCAGUCACGUUGGAACGGAGACACGCUCCAGAUUCCUACGGGGGGCAGCAGGGGGGAAUAUUCGACAAUGGGCGAAAGCCUGAUCCAGCCAUGCCGCGUGUGUGAAAAAGGUCUCCGGAUUUUAAUGCACUUUAAGUUGGGAGGCGGUACCAACAGAAUAAGCACCGGCUAACUUCGUGCCAGCAGCCGCGGUAAUUC
rnacentral:rRNA from 1 species